rfam:Ictidomys tridecemlineatus contig097952, whole genome shotgun sequence.
CGUGGAGAGAGCGGACUUGGCUGGCGUGGUACAGAGAAGCCAGCUUGUUUACAUGCUACUCCAUG